rnacentral:rRNA from 1 species
UACGUAGGGACCAAGCGUUGUUCGGAUUUACUGGGCGUAAAGGGCGCGUAGGCGGCGUGACAAGUCACUUGUGAAAUCUCUGAGCUUAACUCAGAACGGCCAAGUGAAACUGUUGUGCUAGAGUGCAGAAGGGGCAAUCGGAAUUCUUGGUGUAGCGGUGAAAUGCGUAGAUAUCAAGAGGAACACCUGAGGUGAAGACGGGUUGCUGGGCUGACACCGACGCUGAUGCGCGAAAGCCAGGGGAGCAAACGGG